AACGCACAUUGCGCCCCUUGGUAUUCCGGGGGGCAUGCCUGUUCGAGCGUCAUUAUCACCCCUCAAGCUCAGCUUGGUGUUGGGGCCUGCCCGUCACAGGGCAGCCCUUAAAAGCAGUGGCGGUGCCAUCUGGCUCUAAGCGUAGUAAUACUCCUCGCUAUAGACGUCUGGUGGUGUCCUGCCAAAACCCCCCAUAUUUUUAAUGAUUGACCUCGGAUCAGGUAGGGAUACCCGCUGAACUUAA
rnacentral:misc_RNA from 1 species